rnacentral:rRNA from 1 species
CCGGCGAUGUCCGAAUGGGGAAACCCAGUGCAAUUCGUUGCACUAUCGUUAACUGAAUACAUAGGUUAACGAGGCGAACCGGGGGAACUGAAACAUCUAAGUACCCCGAGGAAAAGAAAUCAACCGAGAUUCCCCCAGUAGCGGCGAGCGAACGGGGAGCAGCCCAGAGUCUGAAUCAGCUUGUGUGUUAGUGGAACGGUCUGGAAAGUCCGACGGUACAGGGUGAUAGUCCCGUACACCAAAAUGCACAGGUUGUGAACUCGAAGAGUAGGGCGGGACACGUGGUAUCCUGUCUGAAUAUGGGGGGACCAUCCUCCAAGGCUAAAUACUCCUGACUGACCGAUAGUGAACCAGUACCGUGAGGGAAAGGCGAAAAGAACCCCGGCGAGGGGAGUGAAAAAGAACCUGAAACCGUGUACGUACAAGCAGUGGGAGCACCUUCGGGUGUGACUGCGUACCUUUUGUAUAAUGGGUCAGCGACUUAUAUUCUGUAGCAAGGUUAACCGUAUAGGGGAGCCGCAGGGAAACCGAGUCUUAACUGGGCGUUAAGUUGCAGGGUAUAGACCCGAAACCCGGUGAUCUAGCCAUGGGCAGGUUGAAGGUUGGGUAACACUAACUGGAGGACCGAACCGACUAAUGUUGAAAAAUUAGCGGAUGACUUGUGGCUGGGGGUGAAAGGCCAAUCAAACCGGGAGAUAGCUGGUUCUCCCCGAAAGCUAUUUAGGUAGCGCCUCGUGAAUUCAUCUUCGGGGGUAGAGCACUGUUUCGGCUAGGGGGUCAUCCCGACUUACCAACCCGAUGCAAACUACGAAUACCGAAGAAUGUUAUCACGGGAGACACACGGCGGG